AUCCCCACUUAAUUUCUGUGCAGGAUCCAGAGAAAGAUCAAACCCUGGACGAACUCAAUGUUGUCGCAGAACACUUGAUUGAUGUUAAGAAAACAGAUUGUGAUGAAUACCUGAUAAAUGUAAAUUUUACCCCUACUGUUCCACAUUGUUCCCUAGCAACACUUAUUGGUAAGCAUCAUUUACUUUAAAUCAGGCAGGAACUUAGAUAACACUAUUUCGGAAACAUCUGAAAAUCUUCGUGUUUCCUUUCAAAUCUGCGCAGACGCCCUUAUUCCAAAGAUAUAAAGCGGGGGUCUAUAGCACGUCUGCGUGCUACUACUAUUGCAACCAACUACACUUACUAUUGCAAAAAUGCAUACAAAAAUGGAUACAAGUUUAACUAAUAACUACUAUUGCAAAAAUGGAUACAAAUUUUGCUUUAGCGCUUGUCCAGGCUCCCAUUGCAUAAUGUGAAACAAACGAGAAACAUGCCUAACGGUCACAUGAACAUCAUGGGAACAGGUCUCCGUAGCCUCUUGAGCGUUGACUUUGCACUAUCCUUUGGAUCUAUCAACUCACAUACAAUUUUGCGUCAAUGGUUCACUAUAUUAAUUUUAAACGACCAUUACAUGUAUAUUGUUUUUAUAGGUUUAUGCAUUCGAGUGAAGUUAAACACAACACUAUCUUGGAAACAUAAGGUAAA